rnacentral:tRNA from 1 species
GGGAGGUGCCAGAACAGGUAUAUUGGCUCCGCCUAAGAAGCGGUAGAGGGUGCACGCCCUCAUGGGUUCGAAUCCCAUCCUCCCCG